rnacentral:misc_RNA from 1 species
GGAGAGGAGGAAUGGGGGGGGGAGGAAUGCAAAUCAACACCAUCUUCUUCACAUCGUUUAGCUGGUCCAAGCAACAAACUACUCAAAACUCAUUGCUAGUAUCUCCUGGAAAAAUAUAAAUAAAACUUGUUCGACAACCAGUCCUCAGUCACUCGAUCCUUAUUGCACGAAUCUCUAGGUUUUCCAGCAUCCUGGGUCUCUUGUAAUUUUUUAACAGGAGGGAACACACCACCACACUGACUGAAGAAGCUGCCAUGGCAGCUCCAGCAAUCCAUGGGGGUAAACGGAAUCCAGUACCUGGGAAAAGUGCCCCAGCUGCUAUUGGGAUGCCUAGUAGAUUAUAACCCAGAGCCCAAAUAUAGUUCAGACGAAUGCGGGAAAAAGUCUUCCUGGAAAGGUCUAUAGCAGUAAUCACAUCCUCCAAGUUGCUCUUCAUCAGAACUAUAUCAGCUGCCUCUAUAGCAAUAUCUGUGCCUGCACCAAUUGCCAUUCCAACAUCUGCUGCUACAAGUGCUGGAGAAUCGUUUAUUCCAUCGCCUACCAUUGCCACCACAUAGCCUGAGGCCUGUAACUCCUUCACUUUCUCUGCUUUCUGCUCAGGUUUGGUUUCUGCCAUGACAGUUUCAAUCCCAACUUCCCUAGCAAUGGAAUUGGCAGUUCCCCAAUUGUCGCCUGUCACCAUUAUGCUCCUGACUUUCAUAGACUUGAGAGUGGAAAUGACUUCACGUGCUCCUGGUUUCAGUGGAUCAGAUAUGGCUAGUACGCCAGUGACUUCUUGAUCUAUAGAUAUUAAAAUCCCAGUUUGAGCCAUCUCUUCAAUUUCUGCAAGCAUCUCUUCAGCAUCAGCUGGAAUGGCAAUGUUGUGAUCGAGCAUUAAACUUCUGUUUCCUACUAUUAAUUCCUUGUUGCGGACAAUAGCUUUCACUCCAUGUCCAGUAACGGAGACAAAAUCUCGUGCCUCUGGCCAAACAGGGGUCUCUUCAUCUUCUCUGAAUUUCUUGGCAUAUUCCACAAUAGCUUUGGCUAAAGGGUGCUCACUGUUUACCUCAGCUGCAGCAACAAAUUCGUAAAAAUCCCGAAGCACCAUAUUUUUGAACAGUUUUGUGUUAACAACCACUGGCUUCCCAACUGUAAGAGUUCCUGUCUUGUCAAACACAAUGCAAUUCACCUUGUGUGCACUUUCUAAUGCUUGGCCACCUUUGAUUAGAACACCCUGAGAUGCGCCAACUCCUGUACCAACCAUGACAGCAGUUGGAGUCGCUAAACCAAGAGCACAUGGGCAGGCUAUGACAAUAACAGAGAUUCCAAAUUGGAGUGCAAGCUGAAAGCUGUCCAUAGAAUUUGGUAUCCAAGAUUCCGGGUAGCCAUGGAACUCUCCAGCUAAAAACCAGGCAAGCCAAGUUGAGAAUGAAAGAAUGAUGACCAGAGGCACAAAGAACUUGGAAAUACGAUCAGCAAAUUUCUGUACAGGAGCUUUAGCCAUCUGUGCUGACUCAACAAGACGAACAAUCUGCGCAAGAGCACUUUCUGAUCCAACCUUUGUUGCCUUAAUAUGCAAUACUCCAUUCUCAUUCACAGUACCUCCAAUCACUGGAUCACCUUUCCUCUUUGCCACUGGUCGCGCUUCUCCUGUUAUCAUGCUUUCAUUGACAUGGCUCUGACCCCAUAUGACAAAACCAUCUGAAGCUACUUUUGCACCAGGGAUGAUUUUAAUCACAUCGUUCUUUUGUAUCAUCCGGCCGUCAAUCUCUUCUUCAUUAAUCACAUUUCCUUCAUCAUCUAGAGUCAAUAAUAUUGCAGUCUCAGGUGCUAAGUCCAUAAGCUUAGCAAUAGCCUCAGAUGUCUUUCCUUUAGCCAAAACCUCUAGAUACUUCCCAAGAAGAAUGAAUGAUAUCAGCAUUGAGCUAGUCUCAAAGAAAUCUGUCCCCGUGAAAUCUGGAGAAGCAGCAGCUCUCAACACAGAGUAGACUGAAUAGAAAUACGCUGCAUUUGUUCCUAAGGCAAUCAGAACAUCCAUGUUAGCAGAAUGAUGCCUUAAUGCUUUGUAUGCCCCAGUAUAGAAUCGUCGGCCAAUGAUGAACUGCACUGGAGUGGAUAGAACCCACCUCAAAAUUGCUCCUAUAGUCAGCAUAUUGACUAUUUUAGUGUCCAAUCCAUGCUUAAUUGCACGGAUGUACAUAAAAACCAUGGAUAUUAAGAAUACAGGAACAGUGAAAACCAAACUCCAAAGGAAGGAUCUGUAAUAUUGCUUAAUUUCCUCUUGUCUAAGGCUUUCUCUUCCUCCUGAUCCUUCAGGAAAGAUCAUGGCCUUGAAUUGUCCCAUCCCAAUUGAUUCAAUCACUUUGAUAAAAUUUCUAGGACCAGUCAUUUCUGGUUUGUAAGAAAGAGAAAACUUGUUGAGUUCAGGGUCUAUGUCUAUACUUUGAACACCAGGAAGUGCUAGAAGAGAAUUUUCAAUCAUUCUCAUUGAAUUGUCUGUCCUUAUACCGUCAACUUUAAGCUGUAUCUUGUACAUGUCUUCACCAGUACUGAUAAGUAUGGCUCCGAAUCCUGUAUCCUCUAUGGCCUGUAAGAGCUGGUUGUAGCUUAGAAUCUUUGGAUCAUAGUGAACUUCUGCUUCUUCAGUUGCUAAGGCCACUUGUGCUUUUUGAACGCCUUGAAUUGCUUGCAGAACUUGCUCAACAGUGAUGGAACAAGAAGUGCAAGUCAUUCCAUUAAUGCGUAUCCGGCAUACCUGAGUGGAUUUAUCACUGGUCUCAUCUUGAAUCAGUGUGGCCUCAAAUCCCGCAUCUUCGAUGGUCUCACGAAUGGUUUCUUCGUUAACGAAACUUGGAUAGAAUAAAACUUGAGUCCGAUUAUUCAAGAAAUCGACGGCAGCCUCGCGAAUACCAGGAAGGCGUUUGACUGCUUUCUCAACGGAUCCAGCACAAGCAGCGCAUGUCAUUCCGAUGACAGAAAACACAGCCUUGGCCUCGGACCCCUGGACGCUAAUUUCUGGCACGGAAACGCCUUUGGGGUACUUGGUCAUGGAGGGAUAGCGAGGUCUGGGAGACAAAUCGCCAUAGCUAUCAUUGCGUAUGCAAGCUAACGCCAGCAACUUGGAGGCCAUGAAAGUGUUCGACCUCGGCCUCUGAGUGUUGUUUUCCCAGCAAAAGGCACAAGAAAAGGGAAGUGAUUUGAAUUAUAGCCUUACAGGUACAAGGU